AGUGAGUGAGUUGGAGAGGAAAAGAGCCGUAGCUCAAGUGAGGAAAAUUGAGAGAGUUGUGUUGUGCUGAAGCACUUUUGUGUAUUUUGUAAUCCAUUUUGUGAGAAGCCUAUUAAUACUUAACCUCCAUAUUUCAUCCUUGUUGAGUGUCCUUAUAUUUAGUGUGUCAAAUAUCCAACAUGAAGAACCCAGUCCUGACUUUGGCUUAGCACAAGAAUUAUAUAUUAGGCGACUUUAUUAUGGAAAUGACACUGCUUGUAAGGAUCAGCUGAAACUGACUAGGCAUUGAUUUUCUAUACGCGAGGGCUGUGAGCCAUCCAGAGGGUAGGCCGGUUAUGAUGUCCGCGGAAGGUGUCCACCUUCCAGGCAAACAUCAUUCAGAUAUGGUUGAACAUCCAGGUGAAGACGUGGUGAUCGGAGUCGAUGCUAAUUAAAUAAUCAAGGGGAUCUUUCAACGAUUCGUGUUUUUAUUCAUGAAGUCGUUUAGUAUGGACUUUUUCCGCUGUAUUUUGCUAAGUGAGAAUUGUAAACUCUCACCAUCGAAACUGAUUCAUUUUGAUGAAAUGCUUAUUGUAUUUCCAAGUCCUUGUAAUCGAAUACUCGACGCCUAUUUUAUGACAUCGUUUGACUUGACAUUUGUGCAUAUUCUUAAGUUCUA